GCUUGAUUAGUAUAAAAAGUAUUAUAGACUUCCAAUCUUUAGGUCCCAUAUUAGGAUCAAGCA
rnacentral:tRNA from 1 species